CGGGUGAGUAAUGUAUGGGGAUCUGCCUGAUGGCGGGGGAUAACUACUGGAAACGGUAGCUAAUACCGCAUAAUGUCUGCGGACCAAAGCGGGGGACCUCCGGGCCUCGCGCCAUCAGAUGAACCCAUAUGGGAUUAGCUAGUAGGUGAGGUAACGGCUUACCUAGGCGACGAUCCCUAGCUGGUCUGAGAGGAUGAUCAGCCACACUGGGACUGAGACACGGCCCAG
rnacentral:rRNA from 1 species